CCUACGGGUGACAGCAGUGAGGAAUAUUGGUCAAUGGACGAGAGUCUGAACCAGCCAAGUAGCGUGAAGGAUGACUGCCCUAUGGGUUGUAAACUUCUUUUAUAGGGGAAUAAAAUGUUCCACGUGUGGGAUUUUGUAUGUACCAUAUGAAUAAGGAUCGGAUAACUCCGUGCCAGCAGCCGCGGUAAUACGGAGGAUCCGAGCUUUAUCCGGAUUUAUUGGGUUUAAAGGGAGCGUAGGUGGAUUGUUAAGUCAGUUGUGAAAGUUUGCGGCUCAACCGUAAAAUUGCAGUUGAAACUGGCAGUCUUGAGUCCAGUAGAGUUGGUCGGAAUUCGUGGUGUAGCGGUGAAAUGCUUA
rnacentral:rRNA from 1 species